AUGGACCAUGAGUACCAGCAACACUUGAAGCUCCUCCUUGAGCGGUCGCUCCACGAUCACGUUCUCUCUCCUUCUCUCAGGGAUGGCCAAGAUCUGGAUGAGCAGCAAGAAAAUAGAGUGCUUAUGCUGCCUCGUGAGUCUAUACAGCCAGAUCCUGGGAUUCAGCUCAGCAUGCAAAGUUUAUCCAUACAAGAUCCAGAAGUGCUUCAUAUUCAAUCAGAGCAAAGUAAAGAAAAUCAUGAGCAGGAUGCAAGGUAUAAUAUCUUUAUGAAGCUUGCUGUUACCGUAGGAUCUGCAAGAGUGCUUUCUCUUCAAGCGGUGCAGCAAUCUAUGUCCAGGGCUUGGAGAGAUAAUUAUCAUGGAAUCUCACAGCUCUCCAGGUACAUAUUUGUUGCCCAUUUUCGCUCUUUGGAGGCAGCCAUGUUUGUGAUUACUCGUCAACCUUGGAGUAUGGGCUCAGAUAAUUUCUUGCUUGAGUGGAUGGACCCAGAUGAACAGAGUAGGAAUAUUCAGGAUUAUAAGUUCGAUGCUAUCUUUGUUACUCUUCGUGUUUAUGGUGUUCCUAUGAGAUUUAGAUCUCCUGAGCUUCUUAACAAGAUUUUGCAAAGUGUUGGUCAGAUUUCUGAGUUCCACCCAUUUAGCCAGGCUAUGCUUCAUGCUAAGACAGACUAUAUGUGGGGUACAAUCAAGGCUAAGGUAAAUGUUCCAGUUAGAGAUAAGAUUUGGGUGUCUUUUGAUAAAGAUCUUCAUGCUUGGGUAUACCUGUUCUAUGAGAGGAUUGGUCGUAUUUGUACUUUUUGUGGAGUGAUGUUUCAUUCAGUUCAGCAUUGCCCUACCAGAAACAACUUGCUUAUUUCUAAGCAUAGGCUGCAAAUUUCUCUGGAUCAAAUUCCAUCUGUUAGAUUUGGACAGUGGAUGGUUAAUAUGGAUCUCAUACCGCAACAAUCUUUAUCUGAUAUGCAGAAGGAGUUUGAUUCUUUUUCAACCUUUCAGAAUCCACAGCUUGCUCGUUUGCAGAAACUGCUUUUACAAAAUUCCCCAACUAGGUUCAAGAUGCAAGUUCAGGGAGACUCUUCAGUAAGGGUUCAUAAGGAAAAUAAUAAGCUGAUUCAGAAUGUGCUGCAAGCUGCUCAGGGUCAAAGCGGUGCUGCAGUGAAUUCAGUUGGAGUUAGUUUGACUGCACCUACUGAAAUUAAUGAAGAUCUACAAGAUAAGCGGUGCAAUUACACAGGAGGCAGUACAGUUCAGCUGUGUACAGCUCCAGCUCACCAGUCUGUUAUUUUGUCUGUCUUGGCUCAGAAAGAGAGUACUAGUCAGUCUGUCCCAUUAUCACAUUCUCUUCUGAAUCCCCCGUGCAUGCCUGCUAAGGAAUCAAACAUUCUUGGACAGCAGUUUGGGCUAGAUAUGGGGCUGCAGCUCUCUCAACCCAGUCAAAUGUCUUUAGGACAGUCUAGUACUUCUACUCUGCCUUUGCCUAUUAUCCCUUUGUCUUCAGUCCUAGAUUCCACUCGUCAGCAUGAACCUGCUAAUUCUGCUACACAAUUCACUCAAUCUAUUUGUGCUACUGCAAUUUCCUCUGCUAUGGAAGACAAAUCACCUAAUGAGAAGGGCAUAUUUCCUUCAAUUCCACUUUCCAUUCACAACGCUUCUCCUUCCUCAUCUCACCAUCUUCCACCAUCCUCUCCAAAAUUUGGUCCCAAGAGGCCAUCUACUUCACUUGCUGGUUUGACUAUGCCUCCUCCGAAGAGGAUUGGCGUGCUUGGCAAUGGAGGCUCGGAUCAAGAGCAAGUCGGAUCUGGGGCGGUGGUGCAUCCAGUCGGACGCUGUCCUCGGUCUUCGGGGCAUGGUUUCAAUGGAUCGGGUGUCGUCGAAGCUCCUCCCUCUGGCCCUCUUAUGCUCCGUCCCACAGCUCCAAGUAGACAUCUGGGUACUGCCACAUAUGCCUCUGCCGGACCCGUCUCUCGUGCUCCUACUAGAGUUACCUCUCUCUCUGCCGGUAAUAAACUUGUCUCUUCUCGAUCCGUAGCAGUUAAGGGGGGACGCGGUCGAUUUGGGCCUAGCAAAUGGGAAACUUCCUCGUUCGGAGGAGCUGAAGGUAUCCGUCCCAAUCUCAGUGGGUUUACUUGCCAUCGUACUGGUUCUGCCUCUUGGCACCGUGUCAGUUAUGCUAGUCAAAUGGGCAGUAGCACUCUUAUGUGUGGAAGCAGCAAUCGCCUCAACAACUCGAGUAUGGAUGUUAAUCUUAGAGGCAGUCAUAAUGGAUCCAGAGCUCAGGCCACAAUGGAAGCUCAAGAUAACCUUAGCUCCUCUUGUCAAGGUGAUACAAUUGAUCGUAGGGGUAGCCACAUGAUAGAUAAGCGGCGCAUGGCCCUAACGCGCCUCGGGCGCCAUGAGGGCAAUUGCUUGGAAUUGCCGAGUGGUCCGGAUUAUACUUGGGGUGGUAAACAGCACACUUCUAAUCCUAUUUACCGCCGUCUUGAUCGUUUCUUAGUUAAUGCAGACUGGUCAAAAACAUCUUCUUUGGCAGGUUCUCUCAAGAUGUGGUGCAAGAAUAAGAAGUCUCUUCAAAGUGAUUGUUAA
rnacentral:rRNA from 1 species